GAUGAACGCUAGCGGGAGGCCUAAUACAUGCAAGUCGAACGGUAACAGGGUAGCAAUACCGCUGACGAGUGGCGCACGGGUGAGUAACACGUACACAAUCUGCCUUAUACUGGGGCAUACCCUCGGGAAACUGAGAAUAAUUCCCCAUAACAUAUCGAAACGGCAUCGUUUUGAUAUUAAAACUCCGGUGGUAUAAGAUGAGUGUGCGUCUGAUUAGCUAGUUGGUAAGGUAACGGCUUACCAAGGCUACGAUCAGUAACUGGUCUGAGAGGAUGAUCAGUCACACGGACACUGAGACACGGGUCCGACUCCUACGGGAGGCAGCAGUAGGGAAUAUUGGACAAUGGAGGCAACUCUGAUCCAGCCAUCCCGCGUGAAGGAUUAAGGCCCUCUGGGUUGUAAACUUCUUUUCUCUGGGAAUAAAAACCGGUAUUCAUAUCGGCUUGAAGGUACCAGAGGAAUAAGCACCGGCUAACUCCGUG
rnacentral:rRNA from 1 species